rnacentral:lncRNA from 1 species
UCUGUUUAUGCUUAUGUUUCGGUAUUAACGAUGACAUCCCAAACAUUUUAAAAUGAAAUAAAUACGUUUCUUCGAAAAUGUUUUAAUAACGUAUUUACCAUGUUUUUCUGGGAACAAAUUCCGCAACCUUUUUAUAAAAUGAAGUACUCUGAUUUUUAUAAAGCAUAAACAAAAUCGGUCUUUUCUGGCCGUGAUUUUGGGGAUGUCACAGUUGGUAUCAGAGCAUUAGUUUAAGCGAACUAGGAAUAUGGAUUUAUUUCUAGACUUAAACUUAGAAUGCUAAGCGAUGAUUGUGAGGUGUGAGCACUAGCUUAUUUUAGGAAUUAUGCCUAAAAUGCUUUUAUGUGCUAAAUGCUUUGUGCAUGAUAUGUUGUUAAUUGUUCGGAUCUAUGGUCUGUUGCCGACCGGAUCUGGAAACCUUAUGUGUUUAGGAUUCUAAACGUACGACUACGGUAUUAGAACUAGCAUGUAAACGUUUCGGAGUGAUAAGGAUGAUUUAAACGUCAAGUAAAGGUCUAAAUUCACCUUAUUCGGUGUAUAGAUCGAGAUGGUAAGGACCCGUAGCGGAAACGUAAACGCAAAUGGGAACAGGAACCAACCCCCAGUGGUUCAGCAAAUACCUGUUGUAGAAGAAGUUGCGCCUGAGCCAGUCACCAUGGCUGGAGUUCAAGCCAUGAUUCGGGCUAUGUUGGCUGAACAAAGGGAAGAAAUGAGACGGAUGUUGAAUAGGGACGAACCUACUAUGCCCAUUGAGCAACCCGAACUGAUUCCCGAGCAAUCUGAGGAAGGGAACUACAGCCGCCAAGUGAGUCAAGUUGGGACUCAAGGUGAGCAAAGGGAUGGCCCAGAAGGGAGAAACAACAAGGAUGGGCGGAUGUACAAGAACUUCUUGGGUGCGAAACCACCAAGCCUCUCAGGAAGCCCAAAGCCGGUUGAGGUUAUGGAUUGGAUCUCUGAGAUGGAGAUGGUGUUUGAGAGCUGCAGCUGUAAUGAGAAACAGAAGACUGUCUUUGCAGUAAGACAGCUGAAAACUGGAGUCUUGAGCUGGUGGAAGCUAUUGGCAGAUACGAUGCCACGAGGAGAAGCCUUAAGGAUGUCGUGGGAAGAGUUUUUGGAACAGUUGAAAAUGCAGUACUGCUCGGAGGUAGAUCUGAUAGACCUAAACAACGAGUUUCAGAACCUGAAGAAAGGGAAGAUGAGUGUUGAUGAGUAUGCCACCGCAUUUACCGAGAGGAUGAAGCUAUUUCCCUACUUGGUGCCUACUGAACUCUCCAAGAUUGAUAGGUUUGCUAACGGACUGCCCACUGACUUUGGUCCAAUGGUCAAAAUGGCAACUACCUUAAAAGCAGCUAUUAGGGCAGCUAAGAACGUAGAGGCCCAGAUAAGAGAAAAGGGUCUAGAAAAAGAUAAGGCAGGAGAGAAGCGAAAGUUUGAGGGAUCUUCGAGGUCGAACAAGGAAAGCAAAUUCUCAAAACUCGGAGGAGCAGAUGGAGGUGAAACAAGAUGGUGUGAUAAAUGCAAGAAGAAGCAUGGUGGGAAGUGCAACGAAGAAGUGACUUGUUACAAGUGUGGGAGGACGGGUCACUAUUCCAAAGACUGCACACAUAAUGACAAAGUAUGCUACGGAUGUGGAGGCAAGGGGCACAUGUCCAGAGACUGCCCNAAGGGGUGUGGAUACCUUCCCUAUCACAACGCGUUUUAAAGCCGUGAGGGCAGCAGAUCCCAUAAGAACUCUGCAGUUAAGCGUGCUCGGGCGGGAGUAGUACCAGGAUGGGUGACCCCCUGGGAAGUCCUCGUGCCGAGUGGCCCAAAGCGGACAAUAUUGUGAUACGUGCCAGAGGGGGAUGUUACAUAUUACGUGCUAUUUGUGCAUAUUAUAUGUGUUCUUGAUAUAUAUGCUGGAUGAACAAAAUAUACAUGUUGUAUUCAAUUUAAAUUGUAUAUGUAUUUUAUAUCUAUAAUUAUGAUGGGUAGAGAUGGGUAGAUAAAAUAGAUGAUGAAAGAUGAAAUAAAAUUGAUGAGAGGCCUCGAUCUUCAAAUCUGAUCCACUCAUCUAGCGAAGUAUAGAUGACGACCACAGACUAUUCUAGACAGUCCAGUGGAACGCUAGCAGACUCGCAACCUGUAGGUGUUUUUGAACUACGUGUUCACCAGGUGUACUCCAUCCCCCUCAUGGUUGCCUUUUUGACAUAUAUUGCUGAGGAAUCCCCUAAGCAGUGUUUUCCAUACCGAUGAUAAUCCUUAGGCUAGGUCCUUUAAUUUAGAUGCUUUAGGGACAGAAAGUGAGGAUAACGAGAAUGGGUAAUAGAGUUGAAUGAUUUGAUUAAAUUAAUGAACUUAAUUAUUGUGGGAUGAAAAUCCUAUGUGCUCACCAGGCACCCAAGCCUAACCUACUCAGUUUCUUGUAUUACAGGUAAUGGUAGAAGAGCACAAGAGUGUUGAUCUGAUGAAAGAUCUAUAGAUUAUAGGCCAUUAGAAUAAUAGAUAUUUGUAAGGUCAGUAUUAUUUCUGUUUAUGUUUAUGUAUAGUAUUGACAAUGACAUCCCAACGUUUUUAAUAUAAUUAAAACACAUUUUUUUGGAAAUGCUUUGAUAAUAUCUUUAUCAUAUUUUUGGGAACAAAUUCCGAAAUAUUAUUCUUCAAAAAGAUACUCUGAUUUUCAAAUAAAGCAUAAACAAAUCGGUUUUUUUUUGGGCGUGGAAUUGAGGAUGUUGCAGUCAUAGAGGUUGUUGAUGCCAUAGCCACUGCAGUUGUUGUUGUUGUAGGACUCCAGGGGAGAGGGACGGUGCAGUACCGAGACUUUAGCAAUAGGAAGCCCCCAGAGUUCGACGGGGUCAAGGAUCCGAUCAUUUCGAUGAGGUGGCUAUCUGAUAUGGAGGAUUGUUUCUUCACCUGCUCAUGUCCAGAGGACCAGAAGGUUGUGUUUGCCUUGAACCUUCUUCGUUGGGGACGAAGGACUGGUGGAAGCUGGUGACCGGUGCUUAUUCUCAUGCGGAGAAGGCCAUAGUGACAUGGGAGCAAUUUAUGGAGAUGUUUUGUACUGAGUAUGUUCCACUGGUGGAGAGGGAGAGUUUAUCCCAGGAGUUUUUGUCGUU